CGGAACACGUACAGAACCUUCCUUUAAGCGGGGGAUAGCCCAUAGAAAUGUGGAUUAAUACCCCAUAGUAAUGCUGGUUGGCAUCAACUGGUAUUUAAAGAUUUAUCACUUAAAGAUGGCUGUGCGGCUGAUUAGGUAGUUGGUGAGGGUAACGGCCCACCAAGCCAGCGAUCAGUAACUGGUGUGAGAGCAAGACCAGUCACACGGGCACUGAGACACGGGCCCG
rnacentral:rRNA from 1 species